rnacentral:rRNA from 1 species
AACGAACGCUGGCGGCAUGCCUAACACAUGCAAGUCGAACGAGACCUUCGGGUCUAGUGGCGCACGGGUGCGUAACGCGUGGGAAUCUGCCCUUGGGUACGGAAUAACAGUUAGAAAUGACUGCUAAUACCGUAUAAUGACUUCGGUCCAAAGAUUUAUCGCCCAGGGAUGAGCCCGCGUAGGAUUAGCUUGUUGGUGAG